GUCCAAGAUAGGCAGAGGUACUUUGCCCUAUAAUAUAAUUAGGAGAUCUAAUUGAAACCCAUGAGUGGAAGGCCUAGUCCCAAACAAAGGCCAGUGGGCUUUAAACUCUACAGGCAAGGCCUACACCCAUGCAACUAGGCCCAAGUUUUGAAUUUGAUAGAUUAAUCUGCAACGGCGCCGUUUUACACCCCGUCGUUUUCAACUGUAGAUCACCUCUGAGGCCUCUCAUUUCUGAGCGAUAAUGGCGAGAGAGGCAAUGCAGGAGCAGUGCAGCCUCUACGAAGCGUACUACGAGCUCCACGGCUUGGCCCAAGAG
rnacentral:misc_RNA from 1 species